rnacentral:lncRNA from 1 species
UCUUUCCAGCUGCCCUGUGGGGAAGGUGUCUUGCUUCCCCUUCGCCUUCCACCAUGAAUGUAAGUUUCCUGAGGAUUCCCCAGCCGUGCUGAACUAGAUGGGUUCUCACUGUGUUGCCUAGGCUAGUCUCAAACUCUUGGCCUCAAACUAUCAUCCCAUCUUAGCCUCCCAAAGUGCCGGGAUCACAGAUUUGUCCCAUAGCAUAAGAUUCACACCCAAUACUAUCAUCCUUUGGGUCUCUAAGACACCAACUUAAAAGCAGAAGAAGGCUUCAAAGGUGGCAGAAGAUGUGAGCCUGGGUGAUUGAAAAAUAGAUGUGCCAUUACCCAGAAAUAGGACUUCUUCAAGGCAAAGGCUGAUAUAGUGGUGGCUACAGUCUAUGUUGUGAUUUGAUGGAACUUUUCACUUUUCACCAUUCAAACCAGUAUCCAGAGGUACAGUUGCUGCAUAACUUCCUCAUUAUCCAUAGGACCAAACUAAAUGUCUCUGGUUUGAAAUUUUGACUAGAAAUUAUAUACAUCUGCCAGCGAUUAUUGUGGGUGUAACUGAAGUGCACACUGCUCACUGCCCCUCAAUAACAUCAUUUUCAAAUAAUAACAUUGGAAAGAGGUACUUUUCUAAAACUUUCAAGUGAUCUACAAUCUCCCAGACUACUUUUACAAUGGAUUUUUUUUUUUUUACUAGAUAUGUUAUUUCAAUUUUGGCCACUAACCAAAAGGCAGGACAUUGCUGGUGAAUUUAAGCUGUUCAAUUAUACCCAAAAAAGAAUCUGAGC